GACGAACGCUGGCGGCGUGCCUAAUACAUGCAAGUAGAACGCUGAAGGAGGAGCUUGCUUCUCUGGAUGAGUUGCGAACGGGUGAGUAACGCGUAGGUAACCUGCCUGGUAGCGGGGGAUAACUAUUGGAAACGAUAGCUAAUACCGCAUAAGAGUAGAUGUUGCAUGACAUUUACUUAAAAGGUGCAAUUGCAUCACUACCAGAUGGACCUGCGUUGUAUUAGCUAGUUGGUGAGGUAACGGCUCACCAAGGCAACGAUACAUAGCCGACCUGAGAGGGUGAUCGGCCACACUGGGACUGAGACACGGCCCAGACUCCUACGGGAGGCAGCAGUAGGGAAUCUUCGGCAAUGGACGGAAGUCUGACCGAGCAACGCCGCGUGAGUGAAGAAGGGUGUCGGAUCGUAAAGCUCUGUUGUAAGAGAAGAACGAGUGUGAGAGUGGAAAGUUCACACUGUGACGGUAUCUUACCAGAAAGGGACGGCUAACUACGUG
rnacentral:rRNA from 1 species